UCGCCUCUGCUGCUGGGGGAGCGCUCGGGAGAUGCUCCUGCGGCGUUAGCUCCACCUGGGUGCGAGCCCGAAGCCGGCUGCGGGCGCCUCAUCCCGGCAGGCAGCCGCCGAGCUCCCGUCUCCCUGAGCAGCAAGAGUUGGAUUCCCUCCCUGCAAAGCAGGGCAAAGCUGAGCUGGGGCUGCGGCAGGCGAAACGCCCCCCAGGACCAGACGGAUAUUUCUCUGCCCCACUCCCGUAAACAAAGAAAGAUGAGAACUCAUUUCAUCUGAGUUUUACCUGCCCCUUGAACAACGGCACCAUGGAUCUGGGCUACGAGCUGCCCAACGUCACCGAGUUCUGGUUCUCCUCAGCCUCCCAGUUCGACAACUUCUCCACGGAGAUGUCUGCCAACGCCUCCCAGAACACUACGGGCCAGCAUUUUGAUCUGACCAGCAACGCCAUCCUUACUUUCAUCUACUUUGGGGUGUGCAUCAUAGGCCUGUGCGGCAACACACUGGUGAUCUACGUCAUCCUCCGCUAUGCCAAGAUGAAGACCAUCACCAACAUCUACAUCCUGAACCUGGCCAUUGCAGAUGAGCUUUUCAUGCUGGGGCUGCCAUUCCUGGCCAUGCAGGUGGCUCUGGUUCACUGGCCCUUUGGCAGAGCCAUCUGCCGGAUUGUCAUGACAGUGGACGGGAUCAACCAGUUCACCAGCAUCUUCUGCCUGACCGUCAUGAGCAUUGACAGGUAUCUGGCUGUAGUCCACCCCAUCAAAUCCGCCAAGUGGAGAAGGCCCAGAACGGCCAAGAUGAUCAACGUGGCCGUGUGGGGCAUUUCCCUUCUAGUCAUUAUGCCCAUCAUGAUUUAUGCUGGGAUCCAACACACCCAUGGAAGGAGUAGCUGCACCAUCAUCUGGCCAGGCAAGUCCAGCGCAUGGUACACAGGGUUCAUCAUCUAUACCUUCAUUCUGGGCUUCCUGGUGCCCCUCGCCAUUAUCUGCCUUUGCUACUUGUUCAUCAUUAUCAAAGUCAAGUCCUCCGGGAUCAGAGUGGGCUCCUCCAAGAGGAAAAAAUCAGAAAAGAAAGUCACCAGGAUGGUCUCCAUCGUAGUGGCAGUCUUCAUCUUCUGCUGGCUUCCCUUCUACAUAUUUAACGUCUCCUCCGUCUCCGUCUUCAUCACUCCCACACCCUUCCUGAAGGGUAUGUUUGAUUUCGUCGUGGUUCUCACCUAUGCCAACAGCUGUGCUAACCCCAUCCUCUACGCCUUUUUGUCCGACAACUUUAAGAAGAGCUUUCAGAACGUUCUCUGCCUGGUGAAGGUCAGUGGCAUGGAUGAUGCAGACAGGAGCGACAGCAAGCAGGACAAAUCCAGGCUAAAUGAGACCACGGAAACUCAAAGGACUCUGCUCAAUGGUGACCUUCAGACAAGCAUCUGAGAGGACUCCAGGAUUGCCCUUCUCAGCUGUCCUCUUUCCUCCUCCUCCCCACUCCUUUAUAUGGCAGUAGCACAUAGCAAGUCAGGUCAAGAGUACUUGGUCUUUGUUGCUUGUCUUAGGGGAUGGUGAUGCAGGGAUGGGAGCCUGUGCCAGGAGUAGUCUCUCAGCAGAAGGCAGGUUGGUUUUGAGUAUUCAGAAAGAUGCUGCUCAAAUACAACUUCAUACAUGGAACAGACACACACACCUGUGUUUAAACAUAUAACAUGAGGUCAUGGGCCAAAUUCAUUCCUGCUGCAACUGCAUUGGUUGCACUGGUGUUACCCCCAGGGAUGUGUUUGGACAUACAGAACACAUUCACACAUCUCUAACCAUACCCAUGUAAAUGGGCAAAUUCAAUAGAGUUGCACAUGUGUAACUGAGGCAUUUCUGCUGGACUUGGUUACACAUACCAACAUGCUCCAUACAGCAUAGAUCACAUAUGUCUAAACAGAGCUAUUCAUGUCUGUUUCUUUGCAAAUCAGGAGACUUAGCUGAAAAUGAGAGAGAGAAAGGGAGAGAGCGAGCGCGAGCAAGCGAGCAGUCUUAAGAAUCAGAGCGCACACACACUGAGAUCCUCCACUAGGACAUGAAGAAUAUUUCAUUUUAUUACCCAGCUAGUAAAAUUUUAUUUUUUUAAGAAUGAAUCUCCUGAAGCUCCCCUAGUUUUAUUAGACUGUUACUGUAUUUGUUUACAAGUUGCUUUUCCUGCCACCGGAGAAGCAACAGAUCAGAAUGAAAGAAACCACAGCAGAAAGAAAAUAUCCCAGCCCCAGUACAGUGUGUGUGUGAGCGAGAGAGAGAGAGGCUGGACAGAUAGACUCCUAAGAGAUUUGGAACCCAAUUCCCAUUAAAAUUGAUGCCUUGAGGCAGCCUGGAAAAUCUCAGUUUAUAUACACAUUCUGCAGUCAGAUACAUACGGGUGGGAUGUACGUG